rnacentral:lncRNA from 1 species
CGUUCUAUAUGUUUAAUUAGCUAUAUAUGCACCUAAGAUAAAAAGUGACUUUUGGGAGAAGUUCUGAUAAAUUCUAUCUUUAUUUCACAGAGCUCCAUGAUAUGUUUUGUGAAAGUGUUAGAUUUCAUUACUGUGUGAGAGAGAGAGUGCUGGUGAAAGUGUAAUUUGAAAUGAUGACGUAGAUCAAAGAAAGAAAGAUCUUCAUUGUCAAACCAAGGAAAGCAAAUCCAAACAAAGGAAGUGUCUAACACUAAAUAGCAGAGUUAACAGGAGAUGUGAAGAGAUUAUAAAACCUGAUGGCUAGCAGCUAAGUGACAAGCUGAUAGCUAACUACAGUUAAGCUUAAGUGUAAUAUUAACAAGAGUUAGUUAGUUAGAAGUUAGUGAAAGUCGGUUAGUGUUAAAGUCAGUAAGUUUGUUAAACUAUAGAAGAUUGUACAGAACUUAGGAUUUGAAAAAUGAAGUGAGUUGGUUCUCUUCUUCUCUCAUUCUUCUUUCAUUUUCUCCUUCUAAAUUCUUCCUUCACGUUAGCUUUGAUCACCAUUUCUAUGGCUGUUAAUAUGGUAUUAGAGCCAUCGGUGUGGAUCUAAGCAAGUUUGCGAACGAGUCUCUUCAUCUAGGUUGCUUCAAUUCUGCAAUUUGAGGUGCCGAAUUGUCUCAGAGCAAUUCUCGAUCGAAGCUAGGGUUUACAAAUUGUGUUUUGUGAAGCCAAUUCCCAGUCAACAAUGGCGGUUGAAGACGAUCAAAUCAACAAUACUACUCCUACUCACACUGCCACGACCUCAGCGAAUGGCAAUUUCAUGACUAGUACCUCAUUCCCUACCAUUGUCACCCGUUGUAUCUACAGCCAACCGACACACUAGUUAGUUCUCUGAUCUCUCUUCAACUUACUGGAUCUGAUAACUAUGCUUUGUGGAGUCGCGUAAUGAGAAUUGGCUUGCUAGGUAAGAGUAAAUUAGGAUUUGUCGACGGUAGGUUUCCUAAGUCUAAGUUUGAGCUUGAACUCCAUGAUCUGUGGGAGAAAGUGAAUGCUAUUGUUUUGUCAUGGAUAAUGAAUGCUAUGAGGCCAGGUUUGCUAAGUAGUGUCCUAUAUGCAUCUAGUGCUCAUAAAGUUUGGGAAGACUUAAAAGAGAGAUUUAAUAAAGUAAAUGGUUCCAGAAUUAUGUACCCAUAUAGGGAGGUUCACACUUUGACUCAAGGAGUUAUGAUUCUGACUAUUUCUCUAAACUAAGAGAGCUUUGGGAUGAGUUUGAUGCUCUUAUGCCGUGUCCUGGCUGUCCCUGUCCUGAGUCAAAGAAGUAUGCUCAACACUUUGAAUAUCAAAGGCUCUUUCAAUUUCUUGCUGGCUUAAAUGAGUCCUACUGUCAGUCAAGGAGUCAAAUCAUGAUGAUGUCUCCUUUGCCUAGUAUAAAUAAGGCCUAUUCUAUGUUAGUUGAUCAGGAAAGCAAAAGAAACCUUGCAAAUAUGACACAAGUGUAUAGCAGCAAGAACACAAAUAAUACUAAAAACUACAACUAAAGAGGAGGCAAGUUCAAUGUGAAUAUUGCUACUACAAGGUACAUACAAGGAAAAAUGCUAUAAGCUAGUUGGAUAUCCUCCGGAUUUCAAAUCCAAAAAGAAGGGAAUCAAUACUUGACAGUAUGCAAAUCAAGUGUAUGGUGCAGAGGUGAACUAUAUAGAUAGAUAUAUUAUGGGCAAGAAUGUAGCUUCUAGUGUGACUCAACAAGGCAGAGGAGGAAGUCGCUCUAAUUCAGGUGUUCCACAACCAGCAAAUCAACCUACUUUCUUCUAGCAAAUGCCACGUCCUACUCCUGUCUUUACUCCUGAACAAUAUCAGCAGAUUCUUCAUCUGUUGCCAAAAGGAAGCUCACGAGGAUCAGUCUCAUCAAGCAAAUCUGCUGCUGCAGGUAUUUUGAGCAAAGUGAAUGCUUUUAUGUCUCAUUAUGUUAAUGACAAGUGGAUUGUUGAUACCGGGGCAUCAAAUCACAUGACUUCAAGCCUAGACAUGUUGCACACUCAUAUGGCACUUCCAAACACAGAAGAAAAAAAAGUACACUUACCUACUAGAAGUGUUGUAUCAGUAUCACACACAGAAAAUACUUCUGUAUUAAGUAAUCAGGAAAUCUCUAAUGUUCUCUACAUUCCUGACUUUAAGUUCAACCCACUCACAGUUUCAAAACUCACUAUGGAACUAAAAUGUAUGGUUGGUUUCUUCCCUGACUUCUAUAUUUUUCAGGACCUCUUCAGUGGUCAGGUGAAGGGGAUUGGUAGGAGCAUAGAUUGUACGUACUGUGUGGGAGUACGUACAAUCUAUAUCAGCCUCAUCUUAGGUAACGAAUAAGUGCGUUAACAUAACAAAUGAUGUUUCUACUUCUACUUCUUCUGCUUCCAAUAGUUCUUCCAGGUUUAGUGUGUCUGUUUCUAGCAUUUGCAUUUUAUGACAUAAGAGAUUAGGACAUGCUCCCACAGACAUAAUAAAGAAGAUAGAGGCAUUGAGUAAGCCGACAACAGGUAACUCUAAUCAGCCCUGUACUGUAUGUCCUGUUGCUAAACAAACCAAAAUGCCCUUUUAGCUGAGUAAUACUGCAACAAAGACUAUUUUUGAACUAGUUCAUUGUGGUAUUUGGGGACCAUAUAGAGUACCUACUGCCAUACCUCCUUUUCCCCGAGGGAUAGAGAAUUUUUUCAAUUAAAGUGACAUUAAUAUAAAUGGGAUAGGGAUAGGGAGUUUUUUCAAUUAAAGUGACAUUAAUCAAAAUGGGAUUAUUUAUUUAAUCAGAGUCGCCACUUGGAAUAAUUUAUGGUGUCCCAAGUCACUGAUUUAUUUUAAAUCCCAAAUCGAGGAAAAUUGACUAUAUUUUUGGUCCGCGAGACAGACGUCCAAAUCCCAAACCAAUUAAUCACGAAAUGCAGAAAAAGGUUUAAUUGACAAAUUUAUUAUGGCAAAAGGAAACAAAAUAGAAUAAAGUUUGGAGAUAUAGAGAUAACACCAAGACAGCAAACCAAACGUAAACCUUUGGCCCGUCAACAUUGAAAGCAUUUUAAUUAGAGUCUUCAUUCAUGAUUAGCAAAUUAAUGAAACUAAAAUAUCUAAAUUAACAUGUCCAACAUAGUUUCCUUCGUCUCACAUUAACACAAUUAAACAGGUAACUCAAUGAAACACCGUUAAGGCUAGUCGAAGUAUGAAAUUUAUUUAAAAGUAGAAGAGAAUGGACCUUUAUAAUUGCUUGACUGUUUCCUUCAAAAUUCGAACAAGAAUGAAUCUCUGACCAGAGCCGGAACCGCUAAACGGAGAUCUCACCGGCUAGAUCGAACUGCGACCUUGAACCCGACCAAAGCUAUGGAUGGAGACGUUGGACUGAGAAGUAUCAGCUACAACAAAUGGGUCUCGGGUUAGUGUUCCAAUGAAUUUUGGGGCUGUGUGGGUUAGAGAAAUAUACUUAGGGUGUAUUUUACUUUUUGGAAGUUAGGGACGACAAAGAGCUUUUCUUUUCAGGUAUGAUCAGUGUCAAAUCUUCUUUUAUUUGACAAUAAACAAGAGGGUUUAAUUUCAGUGGUUCAAAUCUGGAUCAUCGCGCUGAAAUGGACAACAAUUACCAUCCUUCUUGUUGUUGCUACUGUUCUUCUAUGGAUAGGCUUAAUCCUCCAAGAUGAUUUCCGAUAAUGGGUGGGCGACUGCUUCUCUUUUUAUGUAUUAGGAGAUUAAAAUGUUGGGGGGAUUGGGCUUUUUUUAUUGGUUUUGGAUUCUUGAGGAAGAAGGAGAUGAGCAGCGGCUAUUUUUGCCUAAGCUCUCUCUUUACUGUCAUUUUUUAUGCAGGUUGCGGCUGAAGAGAUGGAGAGGGUGGGGAACGGCUGACCUCUCUUGUUUUAGAGAAUGAGAGCUUUUAAAAGAGUUCUCCAAAAUAUGGUUUUGGGAAGGAAG